GACGAACCGUGCGAACGUUAUUCGGAUUCACUGGGCUUAAAGGGCGCGUAGGCGGGCUCGCCAGUCCGGGGUGAAAUCUUUCGGCUUAACCGGAAAAGUGCCUCGGAUACUGCGGGCCUGAGGGAGGUAGGGGCAUGUGGAACUUCCGGUGGAGCGGUGAAAUGCGUUGAUAUCGGAAGGAACGCCGGUGGCGAAAGCGACGUGCUGGCCCUCUUCUGACGCUGAGGCGCGAAAGCCAGGGGAGCAAACGGG
rnacentral:rRNA from 1 species